UUGAAGACAUGCUAUUAAGCUAAAAUUAGCCAAUUACCAAAAUAAUUUCUGCAAUUUCAAUGGGACUGGGGAGGUUGUUCUGGAGAGAAAAGGUCGGUCAGAUCAGGUGUUUCGCACUGUUCCUGGUAGCCUGUUCCGCCAACUUCCCAGUCUUUUUAUUUAUUUAUUUAUUCAUGUAACAGAUCUUCUUGGCAAAUCAGAAAGGGUUUUAGUCCUUAAGUCUAGUUUGGAUCGAGUAAUCAAGAAGAGAAAGCAUCGGAUACCCUUGGAGAGCCCGUGACCAAAUUUUGAUUAGAAAUAUUCGAGAUGCUCAUCAUCAAAUAUUUGAUUGGAUCACUAAGCACUAUUUCGAAAGAGACAGGAAGAGAAUGAAAUCAUCAACCUGUAUCCUCUCCUUCACAUGGGAAGAUUUUGCAGGGGUCAAAGACAGUAUCGUCAAGCUUUCUCCUUCCACUUUCAUGCGUCCUCUAUUCUCUUUAUCGAGAGCUGGAGCUUCUUCAUACUCUGCUGCAUCCAGGUCCUGAAGGUGUGCUCCUUUGAAAAAUUUAGGAAGGACAUAUUGUCUUACUGGAACCAAAAGCAUGAUCAUCAAUGGAAACAUGACCCCGGCAAUUGGAACCCAAGUGAGGCCAAAACAUAUUAACAAGUAAAUAGUUUGAAAAAUGGUAAAUGUUGCAAUUGUCUUGAAAGGCACAGUUUCCACAAACGUGGCAUGGUAUUCCUCGAGGACUCUGCAAGAGAAGGGAGUUACUUUUAGAAACCAAGAAGAAGAAAGCAAGCGGCAGGUAAGUGAAACUAAAGGAUUGAAACUAAUACUUGUAUCUUCUGCUUGGUGCAGUGAAGAGCAGCAAUAUCCUUUCCCAGAAUUGGUUGCCAGGCAAACUUUCAAUGGCCAUAAAGGCAAAGUAACCCCAGAGGACUGAAGUUGGGAUCUUUUUGAGGAAAGGCAUGGCUGCUACACAUCCUCCAACCAUGGUGGCUUGAAGCAAGUUGCUGACACGCUGUUCUUUCACUUCAACAGGCAAUAAAUCAUCAAUCUCCUUCUCGAUGUCAAAUACUGUCUCAUCAACUGGUGCAUCUAUGUGGCCAGUAGAGGAAGCUGCCUGGAUGGUUGUUUCUUUGAAUUCUUUCAGGCCCUGCUCAAAAUAUUUGACAAUAAUUAGUCUCAGAGCUAGAUAAUUUCAUCUGGACUAAAAAAAAAAAUUUCACUAUUAGAUACUUGUAGCUAGGAUUCUGUUUGAAUCAAUCAUCUGAGUGUAUUUGUUCAAAAAUAUAUGUUGCUUCCAGAGGGAAAAAGAAGUCUAUUAACUUUAUAAACAAUACAAUCAAGAGUAGAAUAAGUUGUGACCA